rnacentral:rRNA from 1 species
AGUCGAGCGGUAACAGGAAUUAGCUUGCUAAUUUGCUGACGAGCGGCGGACGGGUGAGUAACGCGUAGGAAUCUGCCUGGUAGUGGGGGACAACAUGUGGAAACGCAUGCUAAUACCGCAUACGCCCUACGGGGGAAAGGAGGGGAUCUUCGGACCUUUCGCUAUCAGAUGAGCCUGCGUGAGAUUAGCUAGUUGGUGGGGUAAAGGCUCACCAAGGCGACGAUCUCUAGCUGGUCUGAGAGGAUGAUCAGCCACACUGGGACUGAGACACGGCCCAGACUCCUACGGGAGGCAGCAGUGGGGAAUAUUGGACAAUGGGGGCAACCCUGAUCCAGCCAUGCCGCGUGUGUGAAGAAGGCCUUAGGGUUGUAAAGCACUUUCAGGAGUGAGGAAGGGUGUACGGUUAAUACCCGUAUAUUUUGACGUUAACUCCAGAAGAAGCACCGGCUAACUCUGUGCCAGCAGCCGCGGUAAUACAGAGGGUGCGAGCGUUAAUCGGAAUUACUGGGCGUAAAGCGCGCGUAGGCGGUUUGUUAAGUCGGAUGUGAAAUCCCAGGGCUCAACCUUGGAAUUGCACCCGAUACUGGGAGGGUAGAGUACGGUAGAGGGGUGUGGAAUUUCCUGUGUAGCGGUGAAAGGCGUAGAUAUAGGUAGGAACAUCA